GACGAACGCUGGCGGCGUGCUUAACACAUGCAAGUCGAACGGCAAGGCCCUGCUUUUGUGGGGUGCUCGAGCGGCGAACGGGUGAGUAACACGUGAGUAACCUGCCCUUGACUUUGGGAUAACUUCAGGUAACUGGGGCUAAUACCGGAUAGGAGCUCCUGCUGCAUGGUGGGGGUUGGAAAGUUUCGGCGGUUGGGGAUGGACUCGCGGCUUAUCAGCUUGUUGGUGGGGUAGUGGCUUACCAAGGCUUUGACGGGUAGCCGGCCUGAGAGGGUGACCGGCCACAUUGGGACUGAGAUACGGCCCAGACUCCUACGGGAGGCAGCAGUGGGGAAUAUUGCACAAUGGGCGGAAGCCUGAUGCAGCAACGCCGCGUGCGGGAUGACGGCCUUCGGGUUGUAAACCGCUUUCGCCUGUGACGAAGCGUGAGUGACGGUAAUGGGUAAAGAAGCACCGGCUAACUACGUG
rnacentral:rRNA from 1 species